AUUGAACGCUGGCGGCAGGCCUAACACAUGCAAGUCGAGCGGCAGCGGGAAAGUAGCUUGCUACUUUUGCCGGCGAGCGGCGGACGGGUGAGUAAUGCCUGGGAAAUUGCCCAGUCGAGGGGGAUAACAGUUGGAAACGACUGCUAAUACCGCAUACGCCCUACGGGGGAAAGCAGGGGACCUUUGGGCCUUGCGCGAUUGGAUAUGCCCAGGUGGGAUUAGCUAGUUGGUGAGGUAAUGGCUCACCAAGGCGACGAUUCCUAGCUGGUCUGAGAGGAUGAUCAGCCACACUGGAACUGAGACACGGUCCAGACUCCUACGGGAGGCAGCAGUGGGGAAUAUUGCACAAUGGGGGAAACCCUGAUGCAGCCAUGCCGCGUGUGUGAAGAAGGCCUUCGGGUUGUAAAGCACUUUCAGCGAGGAGGAAAGGUCAGUAGCUAAUAUCUGCUGGCUGUGACGUUACUCGCAGAAGAAGCACCGGCUAACUCCGUGCCAGCAGCCGCGGUAACAC
rnacentral:rRNA from 1 species